rnacentral:lncRNA from 1 species
ACAUCUUCCGAACAAUCAGUAAAACACUAUAACUAAUGGGAUGGGCAGGAAUAGAAUUCACAGGGAUGAAUGUUUGAGUGGGAACUAAUUUUACACGUGGACAGUUCAUUAGUGAACAUUUUUAUACUAUGAUUACUUCUGUUUCCCUAUGCAACCUUCAAAACUGCAAGGCUCGAGGUAAUGAAUAUUCAGCUAACAAGGGCAUCAUAUACGAAAGGCCACAGUCAUCAUGGAAAUGCCUGUCUUUGGGAACUAGAAAGGUUUCUCAGGGAACUAGAAGCACAUCCCAAGGUACAUCCUAACAUUCUACAUUUUAAUGUUUCCUGUCUGCAUGGCCUAUCAUCAUAGUAUAAAUAGACUAAAUAAAAUGAUAACUAGUAUGCAUCCCACUAUUUGAUCAUGAAAAUGAUUUCAAUCUGGCACCAUUCACUAACUAUAACAGCAAAAUUAAAAUCUUGAUUUAUUAAUUUAAGCAUUCAAAUGUAUAUCUGACAACUGCCAGAUUCCAGACCUACUAAGGGGUCUGGAAAGUCAAAUGGCAAAUGCUUUUAGAAGAUUAAGAGAUAUAUAGCAAGCAUAUGGAUAUUAUCUUUGUCCUAUAAAGUGUGUGUGUGUGUGUGUGUGUGUGUGUGUGUGUGUGUGUGUGUGAGAGAGAGAGAGAGAGAGAGAGAGAUUUGAUCACCCAGGAGUAAAAGUUAUUACUUCAGAAUCCAAAGUCCAAAAUAAAACAUUUUUUUUUAAUCUUUGAAGCCUCACACACAAAAAAAGAUAAUACCACAAGAUGAUAAACAGAGAUGAA